UUGAAGGUGUGCCAUAGGUCCUUUGCUUGUUUAAAUCCUGGGCCUCGCAGCAGAAUGCUGCGAAGACAGCCGCAACUCAAGUCUCUCUGCCUGGACGCCCCCUGUCAAAUAAGGUCCUGAAAUUCUGCACUUUCAGCGAGUAUCCAAGUGACAAAUGCUGCUAGUCCUCAGAUGACACUGAAUAGUGAGAGAAAUGCUCACAACCACAUUGGAGGAGUAACAGCGACACCUGGUUCGUGGAGGCAAUUAGUACACAUACACUGAGCAGCUCUGCAGCACAGUGCACCAGCCUCAGGUGACUCUACCUCAUCAAAUCUUCUAUCAGAGACUCAAAAAG